rnacentral:rRNA from 1 species
CUCUGUGACUCCUACGGGAGGCAGCAGUGGGGAAUAUUGCACAAUGGGGGAAACCCUGAUGCAGCCAUGCCGCGUGUGUGAAGAAGGCCUUCGGGUUGUAAAGCACUUUCAGUAGGGAGGAAGGUAGUGUAGUUAACACCUGCACUAUUUGACGUUACCUACAGAAGAAGCACCGGCUAACUCCGUGCCAGCAGCCGCGGUAAUACGGAGGGUGCGAGCGUUAAUCGGAAUUACUGGGCGUAAAGCGCAUGCAGGCGGCCUGUUAAGUCAGAUGUGAAAGCCCGGGGCUUAACCUCGGAAUUGCAUUUGAAACUGGCAGGCUAGAGUCUUGUAGAGGGGGUAGAAUUUCAGGUGUAGCGGUGAAAUGCGUAGAGAUCUGAAGGAAUACCAGUGGCGAAGGCGGCCCCCCUGGACAAAGACUGACGCUCAGAUGCGAAAGCGUGGGGAGCAAACAGGAUUAGAUACCCUGGUAG